CACCCUGACUGCCUGUUCGAACUUGGCUAUUGAUCUACACAGCAGCAGGACCUGGGGUUCCUUGCAAGGGCUGGGGUUGGAAGUGCAGUGUUUGCUUACUGCAUUACCCCUGGGUUUACCUCUGGCUUGUGCUUCCUGGAGGCAAGGCGAUGGGUCUGCUGCUGGUUCCUAAAACAGUGCCGGUCGGUGAUGGCCUUCUGGUAGUGAAACCGUUUUACUAACAGCAGCAUCAGCACAUCGCUUGGUUCAUACGCAGUGUCUCGGCGCAGCCGGGUGAGAGUGUUGUCUGCACAGUAAUCACCAAGAACAAAGACUCAUCUGCACGGUCAGUGAGCAGGGGGGUGUGAGUGUGCGUGCGUGUGCGCACACGUGUGUGCCUGAGAUGCUGCCUGGGUUUGCAGGGGCGUGGGAGGGAGGGAGGGAGCUGAGCCGGGGCGAGCCCCAGACCGCCCGCAGCUACCACCUUGCGCGGCUCAGGGCCUGGGGGCUCUGACCCCGGGGUCCCGCAGAGCCCGUCCCACGCACGGCACCCCGGGCGAUGCUCCUCGGCCACGCUCACCCACGGCAUCGGGGACCGGCAGCGCGAGGACAGAAGGCAGCAACCUGCCUUUUUAAAGUUCUUGAGCAACUUUGACUCAGACCCUCUGCAAGGAUACUGGUUUCCCAUGUGAAAGACAAUGGAAACUCCAUGAUUGUAGUAAAUAUUUACCUUAAAUGAA